GGCUUUGUAGUGUAGUGGUCAUCACGUCAGUCUUACACACUGAAGGUCCAGAGUUCGAACCUCUGUAAAGUCA